rnacentral:rRNA from 1 species
UACGGGGGGGGCAAGCGUUGUUCGGAAUUACUGGGCGUAAAGGGCUCGUAGGCGGCCAACUAAGUCAGACGUGAAAUCCCUCGGCUUAACCGGGGAACUGCGUCUGAUACUGGAUGGCUUGAGUUUGGGAGAGGGAUGCGGAAUUCCAGGUGUAGCGGUGAAAUGCGUAGAUAUCUGGAGGAACACCGGUGGCGAAGGCGGUUCUCUGGGAAUGUCCUGACGCUGAGGAGCGAAAGUGUGGGGAGCGAACAGG